UCUGAUUGCAGUUCCUUGGGAUUUGUAAUUUUCACACUUUCAGACAGAAAGCAGGGGCGGGAGGAAGGCAGAGCGCAGCCGGCCGGGCGAGGCAGACAAUGAGGGUAGCUGUUUCCAGCUCUGGCAAGGAGCCUUCUCAGGGCUCCCUCUGUUUUGGAAACAUGGAAGGGUCAAGCGGCAGAAGUGGUGACCCAGGCGGUGGGUUUCCUCGCUCCUCCCCUGGUCUGAGACGGCUGGGAGGGCGGGUGCUGGGGUGGGGGAGCCCUCUCCUGCGACCAAGUCCCUGCAUGGGACACGAUGUCCCAGGAAGAUGCUAGGGCAAGAAAGGAGAUAAAUCUGGCAGAACUGAACAGCUAAUUAGAAGCCCUGGUCUACACUCUAACAGCUUUGCCGUUUCUUUGGGAGUGGGUGCGUUUAAAAAAAAAAACAAACAAAAAAAACCCAGUUUAUUUUUAUUAAAUUAUGUUCCACACUCCCUGCCUCUGUAUAGCUUUUCCAACUCAGUACCAGUCAAUUCAUCUUACUUCAUUGCUUACGUACAGAGUUUGGGCCAUUUACAAUAGCUCUUAUUCAUACUUUUAAAAAUUGCUUUUAAUUUUUUCUUCCCCUUAAAUGUGAUUGUGCUCCAUCUCCCUGUCUGGACUGGAAAUUGCCAGUCAAGAGCAACCGUCUCCUCCGUGACUGGCACGGUCCUCAGCGUAUUCAGGUCUGGAUUCCUAUGGUCAUCUGUUUCUCCAUCUAGCUGAAGAUGAAGCUGCUUUGGGAAAGGACUUGGUUUAAGGUUCAUUCUUCCAGAACUGAGAAUCCAUCCUUCCCAAGGAUUGGAGAAUGAACUGAAACAUCAUAUUCAUAAGAUGCAAAUCACCUGUGCAGUUAGAGAACAUAAGCCUGGAGGUAUUCAACUCCCCGUCAAGGAGAAGGAGCACAGAAAACCUCACAUCGUCACCAAAACAACACAACUCUAGACAUAGAUAGGAAGCCUGGAGAUACAGCAGCCAUCUUGCAACCUUGAGAACCAAAGCCACUCACUUAAGGAGGGUGGAGCUGAAGCCCUAGAUGACAUCCAUAAGUGGUGGAACUUCCUCAGACUUCUGUGUUUAAUCACUCAGUGAAUUUUAUUACAUUUAUAGUUGUACAAUGGUCAUCACAACCCAAUUGUAUAGCAUUUCCAUCCCAAAC